rnacentral:rRNA from 1 species
AGUGAACGCUGGCGGUAGGCCUAACACAUGCAAGUCGAACGGCAGCACAGUAAGAGCUUGCUCUUACGGGUGGCGAGUGGCGGACGGGUGAGGAAUACAUCGGAAUCUACUUUUUCGUGGGGGAUAACGUAGGGAAACUUACGCUAAUACCGCAUACGACCUACGGGUGAAAGCAGGUGAUCUUCGGACCUUUCGCGAUUGAAUGAGCCGAUGUCGGAUUAGCUAGUUGGCGGGGUAAAGGCCCACCAAGGCGACGAUCCGUAGCUGGUCUGAGAGGAUGAUCAGCCACACUGGAACUGAGACACGGUCCAGACUCCUACGGGAGGCAGCAGUGGGGAAUAUUGGACAAAGGGCGCAAGCCUGAUCCAGCCAUACCGCGUGAGUGAAGAAGGCCUUCGGGUUGUAAAGCCCUGUUGUUGGGAAAGAAAAGCAGCAGGUUAAUACCCCGCUGUUCUGACGGUACCCAAAGAAUAAGCACCGGCUAACUUCGUG